rnacentral:tRNA from 1 species
CGGCAUGUAGCUCAGUGGUAGAGCAGUCGGCUAUUAACCGACUUGUCGUGGGUUCGAUUCCCACCUUGCCGA